rnacentral:lncRNA from 1 species
UUAUAUUCAAGAUUUGAAUAUGAUAACCUGUAAUACUGAAUGUCGUAAAAGAAAUAUAUACAAGAAUAGUAGUCUAAACCCCAAAACUCGGUGUUACAAGUACAUGCGCAUCUAAUAGAGUGUACAAUACCACUAUAACAACUGUUUGGAUUAGAAAAUAGACAUAAUAUAGUAAAUGAGUAAGACAAGUUCUCCGUGUGUUGCAUAUCGUAACAUAGAGAGCAGCUCACCACAAAGUCUCCUAAGCAACUGCGCCUACGCGCGUAGAUGACCACCAAAUAUACAUGUCUUAGUACCUACACAACAAGUGCAGAAGUAUAGUGUGAGUACAUAAAUCAAUGAAUACCCAAUAAGUAUGUAGUCUAACCUCAAAUAGGUAGUGAUGAGGGGUCGACACCGACACUUACUAGUGGUCCAAUAAUCAUAGUACAAUAAAGGUAGACAGGAAUGAAGCAUGGAAAGUAAAAUUAGUGACAAAAAGAUAUAUGUACAUAACAUGAUCCUCAACAAAAGAGUAAAUACAAAAGCCUCGAAUAUCGAAUACUACCUCGAAUGGAAUAUAUGUAAGGUCACUAACCAAUAAAUAUCAUGUCUCAAGUCAGAUAGAUUCAUAGAUAUGCUUGUUGUACCCUAUUUUGCACAGGUCAAAACAAAAUAUAACUUGUGGUUUCCUUGAAGUUGAUAAACGAAGAGUUGUUACCUAAUAUUUAAGUUAUACUAAGGUACCUAUAGGCCUGUAAAGAUCAUUAUCCCAAUGGUCCACUAAAUUAAGAAAUCGUGCAAAGGUUCUAGUUAUUCUAAGGGGAUGGUGUUAGGCAUCCCUUAAAAUCUAUAUGAAAUAGUUCCUUAAACUUAGGCUAGAUGUGGGGACAGAAUUAUAUAUAUUCUAGUCCAUUAAUGAUUAAAGUUACUAAACGGGUUUAUGUGAAAGUCUUGACUAAGUGAAAAAAAUAUUUUUAUUCCUAUCGAAACUCAUUUGUUUUGAGAAAAAGAUUUAUAACUUUUUAGAAAUAACGGUAUUUGUUUCAAAAGUAUGUGGUAAGGUUGCAAAAAGGGUUUAUUUAAAACAUGGGUCUAUGUUAACACUUUAUAUGCCUCAGAAAAUAUACUUUAUCUGUUUCUUUGAAAGCUAUUUGGGUAUGAAUCAAAGCGUUUUCCUAAAGCUAUUUAUUUAUUUCUUUGUAAAAUCCAAUUCGGGCUUUGUAUUGCACUGUUUCCUCUUUUGUCCAAAAAUAUUAGAUGUCGAGUUUGCCUAAGUGAUCUGUUUGAAAUUUAUUUUUCUAAAAAAUAUUGUUUCUGCAUAAUCCAUUCAGAUUCUGUAGAUUCCUAAACAAACGAAAACUCGUUAAUGAAGAGUAAGUAAAUGAAAGAAAAUUAAUUGAUAGACAGUUAGUUCGAAUUCCUGAAAUUGUUAAGCCUCCUAAAGCAAGUAACCUUCUCAAUCAAGAUUAUCUUUUAUCUUUACUAGAUUUAACUCCCUAGGGUCUUUCUUAAACAAUCACAACAAAGCAAAUAAAGACAAAAUAUCACGUUAGUUGAAUUUAAAGAAAAGGGGAAAUGAUUAGACUCUCUUGUUGGGCUGACAAUUCGUCAGGCCCAACCAAAUUCAAGCAGAAGCAGACUUCAAGCGAAAAAAAGAAAAUCAAUUAGUAAGUUCCAAUAAAGAGUGAAGAAAAAAAUAAUGACAAUAAAUAUAAGCAUGAUUUAAAAUAUAGCAAAGCUAAAUUUGAUUUGUGAUAAUCCCCUAAAGAUUAAUCAAGGUCAAUAACUAUAGGCUUAAAGUGAACCAUAUUCACUUACAAGGUUCCCUUCAUGGACCCUGACACUUCAGAUUUCACAAGGAUCUCUUGGACCUCGAGCAGUGUUUGUGUAAGGGAAGGGUCCUUUGAUAGUAAAAUUAAGUCCACGUCAAAUACCGCAGCUAUUGAACCUUGUAAUUGGGGUUUAGACUCAAGAACCAUGACUUAGCACUUAACCAAAUAGGUUAGCCAGGCAGCCCCAUACAUUCAACAUGAGACAAACUAUCAAUAACAUAGAAGGUCUAAUAUGAUACCUUAAUUCAUCUAAGCAUGAUAUAUUUCAAGAAUUUAGUCAAACAAAGGUACAAAUAAUUUCAGGACAAUACAAGACUUGUUAGCAAACAAUUAUUCUACGAAUUGAAACAAUCACUUUAGUAAAAUACCAUAAAUGAUCAGGGACUAACACAUGACUUAGUUUGAAACAAUCUUUAGUAAGUGAUCACUAUCAAAAUGUGUGAUGUAGGGACAUAUCACAACAUAUAAGCUCUCAAAGUUCCUAGUAGUUUCAAAGGUUUAAAAGUCAAAUCAGAACCAUUCCACAUGUUAUAACAUCUAUACAACGUUCUUGGGGAUCAUUGCUCCAAACAUAAUAUGAGCAUACUUGCUAUGUUAUAGAUAACUUUAAUUUCUAGAAUGUCACUCUAGGUGGUUUAAGGCAUCAGCUGGAGUUAGCAAAAAACAAACACAUACAUUCACUUACUGAGUUUUCAUCAUAGGUCUACUAUUUCAUAAGGCUACAACAAUAACAACAUAUACCUUUUUACAAUCAGCGAGUCUAUGACAUUUAUGCUAGAAACCUUGAAGAAAUUAAACAGCUUAGGGCAGUCAUUUAAAGAUAAAAAGAUACACCAACCAAGAGAAACAAAUCAUGAUUAAACUCCAAUGGACAUUAAGCAGUCUAGAUUAAUUACUUUAGACCUGUAACUAACUCCACCAAAGUUAGGCCAAUCAGAAAAGAUAACAAAGCUAUUAAUCAGAACAAAAUAAUCAGGUUUUAAUAUUAAGGUCAAAGCUACAAGCAUGGUAUCUACAACCAUAACAAUCAGUAGAAGCAGCAUGCGUGAUUUCACCAAUCCAAAAUAGGAUUACUAAACAUAUGAGGACCAGUAUUCAAGUUUGAUCCAAAAUAGGAUUUCACCAAAAUAUAUUUUGUUUAAACAAAUAACAUAGGAGAAAAACAUAAUUAUUAACGGAAAACGUCAAUUAGUCAAUUGGAAACCAAUAAAAGUGGCAGAACAUAGAUUAAAGUAACAUGCUUGACUAACGAAUAUCAUGAAGGGGAGUAGGCAGACGAUCAACAGAAAAUAUUAGAUAAUCAAAUGAAAACAACAUGAGAGAACUAUAUGACAAAUCUAAUUGAUUAACGUAAAACUCUGCUGACCUUAUUUGGAGCAGCAAACCAAGUAGCUAUGCUUAGCCGUUUAAGGUGCAGUACUCACCAUAAAUAUUUAGCAUUUUAACUCAUAUAGAAAAAAAAAGAAGUUUAGAGGGAUUCAUUGAAUACUUAAAGAAAAUAGGAUAUGAGAAAUUACUAAGAUUUUUAUGAUAGUUGUGUGUGUUGGUGAGGGCAUUAAAGCCCAGUAUUUAUAGCUAAGAUUGAGACCUUAGGGGUUUCAUUCAAAUUUGAAAAAUCAGUGAAAGAUGAUGAUGAUGAACACUGACGAAAUCAAAAGGGGAAAAGUGAAAAAUUAGAGGGGAAAUCGGGGUAGGGAUUUUACCUAUUCAAAAAUAUCUACCAAAUUAGCCGUUGAGAUCGUCGGACUACCGGGGUAGGGAUUUUACCUAUUCACUGCGUUUGACCUAUGGAUCAUCAUAUGUCACGAUGAGGUCAAGAUUCCUCCGAAUCUAAUGGAAGAUUUAAACGAAAUAAGGCAUGAUGAUGAGGCUUUAUUACUUUAAUGUUUGAAGCUAGGGUUUUGGAUUCUGAGAUUUGAAUAGGGAUGAUGAGAAUGGGAAAGUUAUUGGCUAGAUUCGCGGCUGGAGGGGGGGGGGAAGGGAGGGAAUGAUGAAGUUUUGGUUGUCUUCAGUGACCUUGCACUGAUUUGUGCAAGGUCUAGGAAUGGAAGAUGGGUGAGAUGAUGAGAGAAAAGAGAGAGGAAGGGGAAAUGAGUCGGCUGGCAUUAGGAUA